rnacentral:rRNA from 1 species
UACGUAGGGUGCAAGCGUUGUCCGGAAUUAUUGGGCGUAAAGAGCUUGUAGGCGGUUUUGUCGCGUCUGCUGUGAAAUUUCGGGGCUCAACCCCGAACUUGCAGUGGGUACGGGCAGACUAGAGUGUGGUAGGGGAGACUGGAAUUCCUGGUGUAGCGGUGAAAUGCGCAGAUAUCAGGAGGAACACCGAUGGCGAAGGCAGGUCUCUGGGCCACUACUGACGCUGGAGAAGCGAAAAGCAUGGGGAGCGAACAGG